UGAGUCCUACGGGAGGCAGCAGUAGGGAAUCUUCCACAAUGGGCGAAAGCCUGAUGGAGCAACGCCGCGUGGGUGAAGAAGGUCUUCGGAUCGUAAAACCCUGUCGUUAGAGAAGAAAGUGCGUGAGAGUAACUGUUCACGUUUCGACGGUAUCUAACCAGAAAGCCACGGCUAACUACGUGCCAGCAGCCGCGGUAAUACGUAGGUGGCAAGCGUUAUCCGGAUUUAUUGGGCGUAAAGGGAACGAAGGCGGUCUUUUAAGUCUGAUGGGAAAGCCGUCGGCUUAACCGG
rnacentral:rRNA from 1 species